rnacentral:lncRNA from 1 species
CUUGGACAAAGGGUUGUCACCAGUUCUGAAUCUGGCUGUGAUCCCAAAGCAGCGUGUAUGUGAAGGUUGCUCACUUAGUGGAGACAUGUCAUCUGGCAACCUCUACUGCUUGUCCUGUGAGAGUACUGUCAUUCACUUGGCUGUGAUGACUCCUAGAGAUAUGGGUGAUAUCAUUCCAAGGGAGUGAUCCUGCAUCAUUUUUUUUGAACUGGUCAAAGAGGAUGUUCUAUUGGGUAGAGAGAGUGGCCUGUCCUUACAGAGCAUGGACCCAACUGGCAAGAAUAUAGGAGAGAAAAAUGAUUCAAAGACAGUAAGGCUAUCCUUAUACACUGAAUCAAGCAGCAUCUUUUGGACUACCAGAGAUUUUAAUAAGACUGGAAUGAUGAGCCAGGCCCUUGGAAUGAGAUGGAAGUAUUCUACAACCUAGAGGUUUUAGGAGAGGACUAAUUCAGAGUUUCAAGGUGGCCAGCAGAAAGUAUGGCUCUGAGGGCAUGGGACUCCAGAGCCCAACACAAUCCCUACAUUCAAUUAUGGAAUUUAUCAGGAAGGCUACACAGAAGAUCUCACAAGUGGAAUUCAAUCGAAUGGGCCUGGAUCUUCAGAUGAAAAUUGUCCAAAGCAGGUCCAGUGGAGAAGUGGGUCUUCAGUCCUCUGUUCUAGCUGCCAGCAGCCAGUCCAAACAGGAUUCCUCUUUCUUCAACUAGUAUCACCAAAAGCCAGAAACCUGUUGUCAAACCUCCAACCCGAGGUCCUUCAGGAGAGAAGUGCCAAGACUGUUGGGACCUUAGAAUCUUUACCCAGAUCUUGACCCUUAGGCUCCCAUGUGACUGUCACAUGCUCUUGUCAUUUCUUUUUGUACGUUUCCCUUUCUUUGAUCUCUUUGGGGUCAUGGGUCUAAUAGUGUUGCUGUUGGAUUAAAGGAUAUGCACAAUUUAGUAACAUUUUGUGAACACGUCGGGGCUACUUUUCGAAAUGGCUAUAUAUCUAUUCAGUUCUACCAACAAUGCAUUAAUGUGCCUAUGCAAAAUAUAUUAUGUAGGAUACAUAAGAGCCUUUGUCGACUCAGAUUUUUGCCUCUACAUAUUUACCAACUCUGGAUGAUCUUAGAUGCAUGACUUUCAAAGUUUGUCAGGGCUGGGGAGGCUACAAGGUGAAGUCAGUACUAACUGCCAUUCAGAGAGAACGUGGGGUUGGGGAGAAGUACAAGAAUCCUUUCCACAGCACAGUGGGGGUUGGGGUGUGGCAAUCUAGAAAAUCCCACAUAAAAUAUUUUGUCCCGCCCCCCCCCCUUCAUACCAGAGAAGUCUGAAUAUUUUCUUUUUCUUUUAUGGGUUGUUACCUUCUUGUGAAAUCUGGGUUAAGAAUUUGGUCAUAGGCAAUAUAAUUUCUAAGCUUUUUCUGUCAUCCACUGACCUUUGCGUGUCAUCUGGGGCUUCUACCAAACUCCCUGCAAAUUGCCAUUUAGUUGAUUAUGCUGACAUGGAACAUAUCAAAAUCAUGAUGGGGUAGUAGUGAUGUGGAAGGGAUAUCUGCACUUUGUGAAGCAACAGAUAGGUGAACUAGGGGCUAGUGGUCUUAUAUUUGAGAUUUUCUUGCCACAGAUAGAGUGAUUGCCUCAGUCUCCUCAUAUGUAAAAUGAGCUGCAGAAGGAAAUGGUCGAGGGCUAAGUGACUUGUCUGAGGCCACAUUUGAACUCAAGAAAAU